CAAAAACAAAAACAAAAGAGCAUUAGUAAAUCCACCAGAAAUAGCGUAAAUAAUUAUCUAAACAUAAGAACCGUAAAUAAAGUAGCAUGCAAUAAUAUCAUACAGUAACUACCAUAAAUAACUAGCAUAAGGGAGACACAGUCCAAAACACAAAUUAUCUAUGGAUAACAUUGCCAAGCCUCACCCAACCCCGGGUGAGGAGUACGAAAAACUCUAGGGGCCCCUACCCUACAACCCUGAUACUAGACCUCCACACUUUCCUAUCAAGGGUCAUGUCCUCAGAAACCCGCAUUCUAGCCAUGUCAUGCCUAAUCACCUCUCCCCAAUACCUCUUAGGCCUCCCUCUGCCUCGCCGUGCUCCGACCAUCGCCAGCCGCUCAGAACUCCUCAACGGGGCAUAAGGACUUCUCCUUCGUACAUGCCCGAACCACCUCAGGCUCGCUUCUCGCAUCUUCUCAUCCACCGGGGC
rnacentral:lncRNA from 1 species